rnacentral:rRNA from 1 species
UACGGAGGGAGCUAGCGUUGUUCGGAUAUACUGGGCGUAAAGCGCACGUAGGCGGCGCAGCAAGUCAGGGGUGAAAUCCCGGAGCUCAACUCCGGAACUGCCCUUGAAACUGCAGUACUAGAAUUCUGGAGAGGCGAGUGGAAUUCCGAGUGUAGAGGUGAAAUUCGUAGAUAUUCGGAAGAACACCAGUGGCGAAGGCGACUCGCUGGACAGACAUUGACGCUGAGGUGCGAAAGCGUGGGGAGCAAACAGG